GUAAGAUAAAAUAAAAGGCUACAUCAGAUAGCAAAUCAAGCAUCCAUGUGCUACCAAAAACAUAAGAGAGUCAAAAUAUAAAAACAAGGUCUUUCCUAAAUUAUAAGCCAAAAAGGGUGAACUAACAAGUCAGAUCAAGAACCCUCAGACUGGGUGGUGUCCACGUUGGAGUCAAGGUCCUCUGGGGGUACCACGCCAGACCAAGCCUCAUUCAGCAUAGAGAACUCCUUGUAGUCUUGUGGCUUGAGUUGGGGAAUUUUCUUGCCGAGGGCCAC
rnacentral:lncRNA from 1 species